GACGAACCGUCCAAACGUUAUUCGGAAUCACUGGGCUUAAAGGGUGCGUAGGCGGCGCGGAAAGUUGGGUGUGAAAUCCCUCGGCUCAACCGAGGAAUUGCGCCCAAAACUUCCGUGCUCGAGGAAGAUAGAGGUGAGCGGAACUUAGGGUGGAGGGGUGAAAUGCGUAGAUAUCCUAAGGAACACCGGUGGCGAAAGCGGCUCACUGGAUCUUUUCUGACGCUGAGGCACGAAAGCUAGGGUAGCGAACGGG
rnacentral:rRNA from 1 species